ensembl:lncRNA
CAGGGAGGCCUGGCGUGCUGCGAUUCACGGGGUCACAAAGAGUCGGACGCAACUGAGCGACUGAACUGAACCGACCUUAUAUUUUAUAAAUAUCUGUAUUAUUUUGUAUUUGCAGAUAGAGGUCUUGUGUCUUCUGACUGUCUGUCAAAAUGUAUCAGGUAUUUAUUGAAUCCCUACUGUGUGCCUAGCACUCUUUCUGACACUGUGAAUGCAUUAGGUAACUAGAUAGACAAGGUCCUACCCUCCCAGGUUUAUCUAUUUGUUCCAUUCUCAGGUUGUUAGGUCACAGUGUUUAAAGUAAAAGAACAUGCAUAUCAUGAAUUCUAGUCUAUACACACCUAUAAAAAUUACACAGAGAAAAGUUCCAUUCAUUACAACACAUCCCUAAUCAAAGCCGCCUGGUUGGCGGUUUUGCACUGUUGAUCUCAAGGGUCUGGAGAAGUUAAGACCUACUCUGGAUGGUUUCGGAGAAUGAGUGUCACCCCACUCCAUCACUCUUGAAUCCCAGGGAUGGGGGAGUCUCAUGGGCUGCCGUCUAUGGGGUCACACAGAGUCGAACACGACGAAGCAACUUAGCAGCAGCAGCAGCAGCUGGAUGGUUUGUCACCAAUCAGCGAGCAGGUUUUCACUGAGCAUCCUCUGUGUACCUAGCAGCAUAUAGAAAAUCAUUUCAGAAUACGUCCUGCUAUUCGUUAAUGCACCAUGGCUUAUUUAUGUGUGUGUGUGUAUGUAAAGUAAAACAAGAACAUUUAUUAAACAUUCAUUGUAUUGAGCAUUGCUGACUGCCAGAAAAAUAUUAUGUGUUGGAAAAUUAGACACUGGAAUGAGUAUAAUCUUCAGCCCAAAAACUACAGUGUGCAAGAGAUAACACUGAAAAUUUUUUCCUUAAAGCUGCCCAAUUUCUGGCUCAAAUUCCUCUUUCCACUGGUGUGGUGGAAAACCGCCUCCCUCUGGAGGUUCUGGGGUCAUUCCAGGACCAAGUCGGUAGGGGCUUGGGUCUCCGCCACAGGGCUGGCAGCUCUCUCUCUGCUGCUUCCUUGCCACACGGAGGACUUAGGAGUCUCGCUUGAAGUUGCAUGUGGCUGUGUUUACCCAUUUCCUCCUCCCAAUGAAGUGUGCUGCCAGGAUGUUAGCACUACCAAGAAUCGUUCAGACCUCCUGGUCCCCCUCAGCCCCCACUACCUCUGCUGAGAUUCUGUGCAGAAUCUGCACCCUGGAGAAAAAGAAAGAGGAGAAAACAAAUUACUGCCUCGAAAUGUCAUCCACAGUUCACAUCUGCCUAAUCUGUAAAGAUUUCUCAAACACGUCGGCAUCAGUUACCUAUUGAAUCCUCAUAGCGGCUAUGAGUUUGUUACUGUUCUCACCAUUGUUCAGGUGCAUAAAAAGGCUUAGGCCACACACUGUCAUUCAGGUGGAAAUCUCACAGACAGUAAAGAAGUUGCGGUGAUCUUUCUGCAGCGUCGGACUUCACAGGCUGCCCUCGGGAUUACAAAGCCACCUCAGAUGUGUAGUGUUCCUAAGCACAAAAGUUAGUGUAGGAAGUAGACGUCAGAAACAUGCUGGUGAAUGAUAUGCUUUGUUUUACUAUUUUAUUUAUUUGUAUUAAAAAAAAAAUUUUUUUUUGAUGUGGAUCAUUUUUGAAGUCUUUAUUGAAUUUGUUAUAAGAUUGCUUCUGUUUUGUAUUUUUUGGUUUUGUUUUCGGCCAUGGGGCAUGUGGGGUCUUGCCUCUCUGACCAGGGAUCACUCUUGCACCCCCUGCAUUGGAAGGCCAAAGUCUUAACCCCUGGACCACCGGCAAAGUCCUUUUCUUUGUAUUUUUUUUAAGGAGUUAAUUUUUUUGAAAGUUGAGUUUUACAAACUGUGUCCUUUUUUGUGGUAUCUUCUUCUCUUAAAAAACUUUUCUAUACCUUUCAGUUUAUCUCACUCCAUACCACCUAGUGUUGUGAU